rnacentral:rRNA from 1 species
AGGGCAAGUCUGGUGCCAGCAGCCGCGGUAAUUCCAGCUCCAAUAGCGUAUAUUAAAGUUGUUGCAGUUAAAAAGCUCGUAGUUGAAUUUCGGGGUCAGCAGGUUGGUCGUGCCAAUGGUAUGCACUGGCCUUGCUGAUUCCUCCCUCUUGAUGAGCCGUAAUGCCAUUAAUUUGGUGUUGUGGGGAAUCAGGACUGUUACUUUGAAAAAAUUAGAGUGUUUAAAGCAGGCAAGCGCUUGAAUACAUUAGCAUGGAAUAAUGAAAUAGGACGUUCGAUCCUAUUUUGUUGGUUUCUAGGAUUAACGUAAUGAUUAAUAGGGAUAGUUGGGGGCAUUAGUAUUCAAUUGUCAGAGGUGAAAUUCUUGGAUUUAUUGAAGACUAACUACUGCGAAAGCAUUUGCCAAGGAUGUUUUCAUUAAUCAAGAACGAAAGUUAGGGGACCGAAGACGAUCAGAUACCGUCGUAGUCUUAACCAUAAACUAUGCCGACUAGGGAUCGGAUGAUGUUAAUUUUUUAAUGACUCAUUCGGCGCCUUACGGGAA